UACGUAGGAUGCAAGCGUUGUUCGGAAUUACUGGGCGUAAAGAGUACGUAGGCGGUUUGAUAAGUCUGAUAUUAAAGACUGAGGCUUAACCUCAGGAGUGUAUCGGAAACUGUCAGACUAGAGGACAAUAGAGGAAGUCGGAAUUCUCAGUGUAGCGGUGAAAUGCGUAGAGAUCAGGAAGAACAUCGGUGGCGAAGGCGCUCUGCUGGACCAUAACUGACACUCAGGGACGAAAGCUAGGGGAGCGAAUGGG
rnacentral:rRNA from 1 species